rnacentral:other from 1 species
UAGUCCCUGCAGUGUUCGAGACCUGGCCAUACAUUCCUUGAACCAAUGCUAUAGGCAUAUAGGUUGUCGGAUUGACAGGUGGGUGUGAUUUCCUUCACUGGAGAACCCGAAGCCUGACUGAUGGCGACCACCCUGAACCCCAGGUUCCGGGAUGCCGGCCUAGACGGCACAUGCGGGGCAUUA